AAGCACCGCCUUUGAACCGGAUGUGGCUUCCGUAGCCCUUCAGGCCAAGCAGCAGUGCUAGAGCAUAAGGACUUGUUAUAACUGGGGUUCUUCAGCUUUGGACUGAAAUGCUCUUUUAAACACAAGGCACAUCA
ensembl:snoRNA